CACCUACUCAUUCGUGGGUUUUUCUUUAUUUUUACAAUUUCCUAAAUUGUAGCGAAGACAUCAAAACUACGAAAUUACACACAUGGAAUCAUGUAGUAACCAAAAAAGUGUUAAACAAGUAAAAAUAUGUUUUAUAUUUGAGAUUCUUCAUAGUAGCCACCCUUUGCCUUGAUGACAGCUUUGCACACCCUUGUCUUCACCUGGAAUGCUUUUCCAACAGUCUUGAAGGAGUUCCCACAUAUGCUGAGCACUUGUUGGCUGCUUUUCCAUCACUCUCCUUAUUGGUCAAAUAAUCCUUACACAGCCUGGAGGUGUGUUGGGUCAUUGUCCUGUUGAAAAAAAAAUGAUAGUCCCACUAUGCGCAAACCAGAUGGGAUGGCGUAUCGCUGCAGAAUGCUGUGGUUGCCGUGCUGGUUAAGUGUGCCUCUAAUUCAAAAUCACACCAUCACACCUCCUCCAUGCUUCACGGUGGGAACCACACAUGUGGAGAUAAUCCGCUCACCUUCUCUGCGUCUCACAAAUACACUGCAGUUGGAACCAAAAAUCUCAAAUUUGGACUCAUCAGACCAAAGGGCAGUUUUCCACAGGUCUAAUGUCCAAUGCUUGUGUUUCUUGGCCCAAGCAAGUCUCUUAUUAUUAUUGGUGUCCUUUAGUAGUGGUUUCUUUGCAGCAAUUCGACCAUGAAGGCCUGAUUCACAAAGUCUUCUCUGAACAGUUGAUGUUGAGAUGUGUCUGUUACUUGAACUCUGUGAGGUGCAAUCUGAGGUGCAGUUAAUUGCAGAUUUCUGAGGCUGGUAACUCUAAUGAACUUAUCUUCUGCAGCAGAGGUAACUCUGGGUCUUCCUUUCAUGUGGCGGUCCUCAUGCGAGCCAGUUUCAUCAUACCACUUAACCUCUCUGGGCUAGCGUCCCACCCUAGUCAACAGCCAGUGAAAUCCCGUGGCGCGAUAUUCAAAUACCUUAGAAAUGCUAUUACUUGAAUUUCUCAAACAUAUGACUAUUUUACACCAUUUUAAAGACCCUGUUAGGGCUAGGGGGCAGUAUUUACACCGCCAGAUAAAAAACGUACCCGAUUUAAUCUGGUUACCACUCCUACCCAGUAACUAGAAUAUGCAUAUACUUAUUACAUAUGGAUAGAAAACACCCUAAAGUUUCUAAGACUGUUUGAAUGGUGUCUGUGAGUAUAACAGAACUCAUUUGGCAGGCAAAAAACUGAGAAGGUUUCAUGCAGGAAGUGGCCUGUCUGACAAGGUGUCGUUCUUCUUGUCUCUGUUUAUUGAAGAGUGGGGAUCUUAGCUGUCCCGUGACACUUCCUACGGCUGCCAUAGGGUCUCAGAAGGCGGUAAAAAGCUGAAUCGUGGCUUUGCAGGCUCUGGCUGAAAAAAAGUAGCGCGUUUGGGUAGUGGCUGGUUACAGUACUGUGAGACUCAGGCUCGUGCCCGCGUCGACAGAAAGCUUUGUUUACUUUCCUCUGUUUAGCUAAAUGGACAUUCCCGG
rnacentral:lncRNA from 1 species